rnacentral:ncRNA from 1 species
AGUAUUAUAAAUUUAAUUCUAGUUUAUUAUUUAAUUUUAUGUUAUGGUAGAUUAACAUGUAAGUUUUAGCGAUAAUUAUAGUUAAGGUUUAAUCUUAAUGGUUAAAUUAUUUUUAUUUUAUGCAGUUAUUUAUUUUAUAUAUUUUGUUUUCAAGGAUAUAGCUCCUUCAAUUUUGACUAGCAAAAAUUGUGCCAGCGGCUGCGGUUACACAAUUAGUUAUAAUUAAUUUGUUUAAUAAUUUAAAUUUAUUAAUUAUUUUGAAUAUUAAGGUUUUAUUAUUAAAGUGAAAUUUAUAAUAUUACUUAUAAUUUUGGUUAUAUUAUUGUAGGAAAUUUUUGAUUUAAACUAGGAUUAGAUACCCUAUUAUUUAAAAUGUAAAUUUUUAUUUAUUAUUAAUAGAUUUGAUCUUUAAAUUAAAAGAAUUUGACGGUAAUUUAAUCAUUUCAGAGGAACCUGUCCUUUAAUUGAUAUUCCACGAUAUAUUUUACUUUAAUUAAUGUUUGUAUAUCUCUGUUUAUUGAGUGUUUUAUAAGAAUUUAUUCUCUGAUAUUAUUAUUUAAUAUAUAUCAGGUCAAGGUGCAGCUAUAUUAAAGGUUGAGAUGGGUUACAUUAAUUGUAAUUAAUUUUGGAUUAAUUUAUUUUAAUUAUUUAUGAAAUUGGAUUUGAAUGUAAUUAUUAUUAUAUUUUAAUAAUGAUAUUUGUUCUAUAUUAAGUACAUAUCGCCCGUCGCUCUCAUUAUUUAAAUGAGAUAAGUCGUAACAAAGUAGGCUUAUCGGAAGAUGAGCCUGGAUUUAAA